GCUUUCCUGUGGCUCAGUUUGCAGAGCAUUGUGCUAACAAUGCAAAGCUAAUGGGUUCUAAUCCCAGGGAGAGCA